rnacentral:rRNA from 1 species
UACGAAGGGGGCUAGCGUUGUUCGGAAUUACUGGGCGUAAAGCGCACGUAGGCGGAUUGUUAAGUCGGGGGUGAAAUCCUGAGGCUCAACCUCAGAACUGCCUUCGAUACUGGCGAUCUUGAGUUCGGAAGAGGUUGGUGGAACAGCUAGUGUAGAGGUGAAAUUCGUAGAUAUUAGCUAGAACACCAGUGGCGAAGGCGGCCAACUGGUCCGACACUGACGCUGAGGUGCGAAAGCGUGGGGAGCAAACAAGGAUUAGAAACCCUUG